rnacentral:snRNA from 1 species
GGGAAGAUUAGCGUGGCCCCUGUGUAAAGAUGACACACGUAUUCGUGAAGCAUUUCAUAUUUU